UACGUAGGGGGCAAGCGUUGUCCGGAAUUAUUGGGCGUAAAGAGCUCGUAGGCGGUUUGUCGCGUCUGCUGUGAAAACUGGGGGCUCAACCCCCAGCCUGCAGUGGGUACGGGCAGACUAGAGUGCGGUAGGGGAGAUUGGAAUUCCUGGUGUAGCGGUGAAAUGCGCAGAUAUCAGGAGGAACACCGGGUGGCGAAGGCGGGUCUCUGGGCCGUAACUGACGCUGAGGAGCGAAAGCAUGGGGAGCGAACAGG
rnacentral:rRNA from 1 species